rnacentral:lncRNA from 1 species
GGUGGAACCCAUAAAUGUGGGGUGGGACCCAUAGAUGGGGGGGGGAUCCAUGGGGUGGGACCCAUAAGUGGGGGGUGGGACCCAUGGAUGUGGGAUGGAAUCCCCCCCGUGCCCCACACACUAUGGGGCAGAAGCCCUCCGUGCCCUAUAGCGGGCCAAUCUAUGGGGCAGAACCCCCCCCUGCCCCACAAGUGAUCACAACCACAAACUGCUCACUACCGACACUACUUUAUUGUGGGGCGGGGCCAGCUAUGGGGCAGAGCCAUGGGGCAGAGCCAUCAUCUAUGGGGCAGCGCCAUCUAUAGGGCAGAGCCAUCAUCUAUGGGGCAGCGCCAUCUAUAGGGCAGAGCCACCAGCUAUGGGGCAGCGCCAUCUAUAGGGCAGAGCCAUCUAUAGGGCAGCGCCAUCUAUGGGGCAGCGCCAUCUAUGGGGCAGCGCCAGGCAGCGCCGUCUAUGGGGCAGAGGCACCAUCUAUGGGGCAGCACCAUCUAUGGGGCAGAGCCAUGGGGCAGAGCCACCAGCUAUGGGGCAGCGCCACCAUCUAUGGGGCAGGGCUGUGCUAUGGGGCAGGGCCGUCUAUGGGGCAGGGCCGUCUAUGGGGCAGAGCUGUGGGUCAGUAGUUGGAGGAACGCUCCUGUUGUCUGUAGGCCCCACGGCGAAGGUAACCGCCGUCCCCCUUCCGGUAGCCGUCCUUCUGAUCUGUGGGGCACAGAAACACUUAUGGGGCAGAGCGGCACUUAUGGGGCAGCUAUAGGGCACUUAUGGGGCAUGUAUGGGGCAGCCAUGGCGCAGGGAAGCACUUAUGGGGCAGAGCAGCACUUAUGAGGCAGCUAUGGGGCAGAGGAACACUUAUGGGGUAGCUAUGGGGCAGAGAAAUAUGGGGCAGCGAUGGGGUAGAGGAACACUUAUGGGUCAGAGCAGCACUUGUGGGGCAGCCACGGGGCACUUAUGAGGCAGCUAUGGGGCAGUUAUGGGGCAGAGCAGCACUUAUGGGGCAGCUUUCAGCUUUGGGGCAGAGCAGAACUUAUGGGGCAGCUAUGGGGUGCUGUGGGGAGGAUAUGGGGCACUACGGGGUGGAGAUGGGGCAGUUAUGGGGCAGUCGUGGGGCAGCUAUGGGGUACCUAAAGGGCAGCUAUGGGCUAUCAAUGGGGCAGUUAUGGGGCAGCUAUGGGGCAGCCAUGGGGCAGCCAUAGGCUACCU